rnacentral:rRNA from 1 species
UACGUAGGGUGCGAGCGUUGUCCGGAAUUAUUGGGCGUAAAGAGCUUGUAGGCGGUUUGUCGCGUCUGCUGUGAAAAUCCGGGGCUCAACCCCGGACUUGCAGUGGGUACGGGCAGACUAGAGUGUGGUAGGGGAGACUGGAAUUCCUGGUGUAGCGGUGAAAUGCGCAGAUAUCAGGAGGAACACCGAUGGCGAAGGCAGGUCUUUGGGCCAUUACUGACGCUGAGAAGCGAAAGCGUGGGGAGCGAACAGG